rnacentral:ribozyme from 1 species
AAAGGAUAACAAGGGGCCAGAGCAGAAGCAUUCACGUCGUGGCCCCUGUCAGAUUCUGGUGAAUCUGCGAAUUCUGCU